UACGGAGGGUGCAAGCGUUAUCCGGAUUCACUGGGUUUAAAGGGUGCGUAGGUGGGCAGGUAAGUCAGUGGUGAAAAUCUCCGGGCUUAACCCGGAAACUGCCAUUGAUACUAUCUGUCUUGAAUACCGUGGAGGUGAGCGGAAUAUGUCAUGUAGCGGUGAAAAUGCUUUAGAUAUGACAUAGAACACCAAUUGCGAAGGCAGCUCACUACGCGAAUAUUGACACUGAGGCACGAAAGCGUGGGGGAUCAAACAG
rnacentral:rRNA from 1 species